GAAAAACUUAAGAUCUCACCAAAUCUGAGUUUUCUUUUAAGAAUCAACAAAUGUACCCUCUGCUCUUCAUGAACAUAUCCUUAUUCACCGACCUGAAAUAACCUCUCGGUGAUGCUAAAAUAGGUCAACUUGUACAACACAUUCCUUAGAAAUAUUUGUUUAAAAACCUUGAUCUGGCUCUGGAUUUCUUUUGAAUGAAUCAUAAGAGUCUGGAUGAUAAAAAGAAUUAUGUUUAGAAAAAUGUAUUAGAAACAGAAACAUUGGAUAAAAAUAUAUAGAAAUUUCUUUCGGUAGAAAUCUAUGUAUUUUUGAACCCUUCUUCAGAAGACUGUUCCCUUGAAAAAAGAUUCUGGUUGAGUAACAACCUGAUAAAGGAGGAAGUGACCUUGACAAUCAUGCCUACCAGUUAAGAGGGGAAAUGUUUGAAAGUGGAAAUCUACAAGUGGUUCUUUAUAUAAAAACCAUUAACAAUAGGUGGAAUUCUCUCGAGGUCAGAAUGCAUACUGUGACGUUUAAGAAUCCACUUUAUGCUGUUUCAGAACUGCAAACUAAUGGAUGGGCCAGGAAUGCUCCCAAGAAAUGAUGAAUAAUGUCAACGCGAAGAUUUUAAUCAUUAACUUCAGAGCAACAUCAGACUCACGUCCAGGUUCAGGAGCAAGUACAGAAGGACGGUGGUCAGAAAGAUGACAUAUUUGCUAACUGACUGGAAGCUUCGAGAUAGUGAAGAGUCCCCACUCCUGCUGAUCCCUCUCCAUGACCCUGAGUGUGCACACGACAGCUGCAGAAACCACGGCACAGCUUCUCUCCAAGGACCACUGGUUUUGAAGAUUGCCGCAUUUCUCAUACGAUUUGGAGCAAACACAUGGGAUGGUGAUUGGGAUUCUUCACAGGAAAUCCUCUCUCUGCCGGUGUCCCAGUGUUUCUUGAAUGCUUCAAAACAUCCAUUAACAGGCCUCUGCCGUCCUCAUGCCUGUAUCCCCAAACAUCUAAGGCAGUAACUCGCAUAUAAUAAAUGUUCAAGAAAUAGUUACUGAAUAAAGGCU
rnacentral:lncRNA from 1 species